UGAGGAGUAUUGGUCAAUGGGCGGGAGCCUGAACCAGCCAAGCCGCGUGAGGGAGGAAGGCCCUAUGGGUCGUAAACCUCUUUUGUCAGGGAACAAAAGCGAGUAUGUAUACUAGUCUGAGUGUACCUGAAGAAAAACGCAUCGGCUAACUCCGUGCCAGCAGCCGCGGUAAUACGGAGGAUGCGAGCGUUAUCCGGAUUUAUUGGGUUUAAAGGGUGCGUAGGCGGCGGUGCAAGUCAGCGGUAAAAGCCCGGGGCUCAACCCCGGCGAGCCGUUGAAACUGCAGUGCUAGAGAAGGCGAGAGGUACGCGGAAUGCGCAGUGUAGCGGUGAAAUGCUUAGAUAUUGCGCAGAACUCCGAUUGCGAAGGCAGCGUACUGGCGCCUGACUGACGCUGAGGCACGAAAGCGUGGGGAUCGAACAGGAUUAGAUACC
rnacentral:rRNA from 1 species